CCUACGGGAGGCAGCAGUGAGGAAUAUUGGUCAAUGGUCGGGAGACUGAACCAGCCAAGCCGCGUGAGGGAUGAAGGUACAGAGUAUCGUAAACCUCUUUUAUCAGGGAACAAAGACUGUGACGCGUCCCCGGAUGAGUGUACCUGAAGAAAAAGCAUCGGCUAACUCCGUGCCAGCAGCCGCGGUAAUACGGAGGGUGCGGGCGUUAUCCGGAUUUAUUGGGGUUAAAGGGAGCGGAGGCGGGCUGUUAAGUCUGCUGUGAAAUGCCCGGGCUCAACCCGGGCCUUGCAGCGGAAACUGGUGUGCUUGAGUCCGCGAAAAGCAGGCGGAAUGCGUUGUGUAGCGGUGAAAUGCUUAGAUAUGACGAAGAACCCCGAUUGCGAAGGCAGCUUGCUGGAGCGGAACUGACGCUGAGGCUCGAAAGCGUGGGUAUCGAACAGGAUUAGAUACCCUAGUAGUC
rnacentral:rRNA from 1 species